CCUACGGGUGGCAGCAGUGAGGAAUAUUGGUCAAUGGUCGGGAGACUGAACCAGCCAAGCCGCGUGAGGGAGGAAGGUACAGAGUAUCGUAAACCUCUUUUGUCAGGGAACAAAGACUGGGACGCGUCCCCGGAUGAGUGUACCUGAAGAAAAAGCAUCGGCUAACUCCGUGCCAGCAGCCGCGGUAAUACGGAGGAUGCGAGCGUUAUCCGGAUUUAUUGGGUUUAAAGGGUGCGCAGGCGGUCUGUUAAGUCAGCGGGCAAAGCCCGGGGCUCAACCCCGGCCCGCCGUUGAAACUGGCAGUCUCGAGUUGGAGAGAAGUAUGCGGGAUGCGCGGUGUAGCGGUGAAAUGCAUAGAUAUCGCGCAGAACUCCGAUUGCGAAGGCAGCAUGCCGGCUCCACACUGACGCUGAGGCACGAAAGCGUGGGUAUCGAACAGGAUUAGAUACCCGGGUAGUC
rnacentral:rRNA from 1 species